rnacentral:lncRNA from 1 species
AAUAACUUGGCUCUCGGUCUUCUUCUUCUUCUCUCUAAAAAGUCUCCAAAUCAGAAAAUCGUUUCCGGUGACCGGUGGCUUGGUUACCAUUAUGUUUUGUCUUUUGAUGUAAAAUAACUUCGGUCAAUCUUUGAUCGAUUUAUAGUUUCGCUUGGCGAAUUUACUCUUCGCUUUGACGAGUUAUUUUGAAGUGUAAAGCUCAAUCAAAUCGGAACGUUUAUCAAUCUCAUCUUCUUCUGAUAUGGAUUGAGCAUACCUAUAGUUAUGUCCCAGUUCUUCUCCUUCUACCUAUAUUCUGAUUCUGUUUGGUCGAAAUGGUUUUGUUUUCUUCUUUGUUAGAUAAGCUUAGUCCUUGACUCGGAGGUGGUAUAAAGCUUCGACUCGUGUUUGUGUGAAGUCUCCACGAAGAUCAAGUCCUGAGUUUUCGAUCAUGCUUUCGAGUUUCAAGUCAGAAUCGAGAAGAUUUGGAGCUACCAUAAGGGUCAGCGUUCCAAUAAGAUUCCAAGCUUGAUUCUUCUAAAGCUUUUCCUGGUGCUUAAUUCUAACAAUUGGAGAAGAAGAUCAUGAGAUCGACGGUGAUUGAAGGUUGAAGAACAUACAAGCAGCCUCAAGUAUGUCGAAGAUGGAGAUGAUCGGCAUUCCGGCGAGUUGGUUCCGGCACUGCUCUUCCAAGAUGAUCGGCAUUCCGGCGAGUUGGUUCCGGCACUGCUCUUCCUUCCUCGACUAAGGUGUGGAAGCCACGUAGAGACCACGUGUCACUCAUGCGGUUGUAGUUAUCUGUAAAAUAUGGGCUUCAUGUUGGGCUUAAUGUAUAAUGAGACUUUUUGUACUUGCCAUUUGGGCUGUCGUUUUAAUAAAACGAACCGUUGACAAAAAAAUAAAAAUAAAUAAAUAACUUGUAAUUUUUUCUUAUUUCGAAGCUGGAUGCCAG